rnacentral:rRNA from 1 species
UGGCCUAACGGCUGAACCAGCAACUUGGGGGAAUGUAUAGCUUAGGCUAACCAUAUCUGGUUUUAUUAAUGUUCUAUUCUUUAUUAUCUUUUAAAUAAGAGAAAGAGGUUAGUUUUUUAAUAAAUUAACAGUUUGUUAAUUAUUAGAUAAUAUAUCUUUAAAUAACUUAACUAAAUUUAUUUAGACUGACAAUAUGGUAUCGAUUUUGUCGAGUAAAGUUCUAGAUAUUAAACUGAUUAUGACAAUUUAUUAUCUAUAUGUCUUGACCAAACUACGUGCCAGCAGUCGCGGUAAUACGUAGGAGACUAGUGUUAUUCAUCUUAAAUAGGUUUAAAGGGUACCUAGACGGUAAAAAAUAGUCAAAUAAGAUACUAUUUUACUAGAGUUAUAUUUGAGGGGGUGAGUACUUGAGGAGUAGAGUCAAAAUUUUAUGAUACCUUGAGGACUGGUAACGGCGAAAGCAACCUUCUAUCUGGUAACUGACGUUGAGGGACGAAGGCUUGGGUCGCGAAUAGGAUUAGAUACCCUAGUAGUCCAAGCAGAAAAUUAUGGAUGCCAUAGGUUAGAUUUUUUUUAAUCUAUAAAUGAAAGUGUAAGCAUUUCACCUUAAGAGUAAUGCGGCAACGCAGGAACUGAAAUCAUUAGACCGUUUCUGAAACCAGUAGUGAAGUAUGUUAUUUAAUUCGUAAUUACGCGAAAAACCUUACCACAAUUUGAAUAUUAUCUUAGGGAGCUUAUUAAUAAACUCCCUAAGAUAUUACAAGCGUUGCAUGGCUGUCUUUAGUUAAUGUCGUGAGAUAACGGUUAAUUCCUUAAAAUUAACGGAAGCCCUUGCUUUAUUUGUUUCUUUAUUAGAAAAUAAGGCAGUUCGCCAAUACAUUGGAUAUGAUAACAGGGACCAAGGCAAGUCAUCAUGACCUUAAUAUUGUGGGCGAUAGACGUGCCACAUACUCUUAUACAAAAUGAUGCGAAAAUGUGAAUUUGAGCUAAUCUAAUUAAAGUAGGAGAUAAUA